ensembl:lncRNA novel transcript
AUGGCCUGCCCACCCACCGCCCCAUAAUAGGCUUAAAUGGCUGCUGUCUAUACCACCUGCUGAUAAUUUUUGACUGGUUUUCCUAACUUGAAAAGAUGAGUGGGACCCUCUAAAUUCUUCUUGUGGGGAUUGGAAUUGGAAGAGUGAGAGAAUCAGUCAAGUGAAGGCAGGUGAUACUGCAAAAGGACAUGUAGGGUGCAGGGUACGGUGGCCCAUGAGGGCCAUGUGCGAAUUGCAGGAGUGGAGCCAAGAGGAUGGAAGAGGAACCCAGAAAGAAAUGGAAACACUAUCCGAAGGAAGAGGCUGAUCUUUGGGCUUUCCAAAAGCUGCAGUUCUGGGACCUGGGGGAAAAUUGGAGUGCCUGGCUUCCAAACAGGCAUAAUGGCUCUCUGCAAGACCAAGCUUGGAUUUUGAUUUUGCUUCCUUUAUGUGAAGCCAGGAGAGAGCUUAGCGCCCAGUACUCCGUGCCCCACCCCCACCACAUCGCAGCCUCCCACAGUCACCAGGAAAAGUGGGGGCUUUCAGCGGCAGCCAGAAGGAAUUCAGAAACAUCACAUUUCAUUUCGGGAAGAAUUGGAUCAGCACCAGUUUGGUGUUGAGGCCAUGAGAUUGUGGCAUUUUUAUCCCAAAUUUAUCCUCCCUUGGUCUCUCUCAGUGUGUGUGUCUGUAGGAAGUCAUCGUGUAGCAUUAUGCUAUGAAGAAAGCAUCCCACACUUAUUCAAUUGCAUCGUCCCACAUUCUGGAUCGGGAGACACAGACUCAAGUCAACCUGCAGCUGCCUAAUUUUGCAGGGAAGCAGCCAUCCUGAUGUUUGCAGGUUGGAGGCCUCCAAGUGACACACAUCAGGAAGAAAUGGGCUCUCCAAUCCCAGAUGAGCUGAAACACAAACGUUUUCUGAGGGAACAGUCAGGAGUCCUAUCUUUCUGAGCCCUUUUCGAUGCAAGCAACCAUUGAUGAAGAAGCAUUUAUGCUUGAUACCUAUGGCAGGUGUUCUUCGGUGUGGAGAUGUUGUCAAUGAAAGAUUCAAAAGUGGUUCAAUUAUCAGAAGACCCUAUUUGUUUGCUUUUGCCCAGCUUUUGUUUGCUCUGUCACUCAGGGAGAAUAUAAACAACUUUGGCGAGGUAAGAUGGAAAAACAGCCGGUACGGAAAUGUUCGAUGGACAAAUGAGAGGACUUGGCAGAAGUUUGGCUUAGAAGAUGAAUGAUAGAGCCCCGGACAGAAUGCAAUAGUGGCAAUAGGCAUGCAUUCUUUGCAGAUGUGCACCGAAGGCUACAGGCUACUGUGUCUUUUUCUUCUGGCUUCUCUCUUGAGCUUCUGACACUGCACAGAAAGUGGGUCGGUCCUCUGACAGGCUUGAAAAAUGCAAAAGUUUACCACCAACUGGUGGGAAUACAUGCAACACAUGCAUAAAACAGAGCAUCAGUGGUGAAAUGCAGCCUGCAGUUUCUCUCCGACAGUUAUCCAGAUAGUUCAUCUCAAAAUAAUGAUUUUGCCAUAAACAUACAGAUAUUGCAGGCAAAAGCCAUCACAAUUCAAAAGCCGUAACAAGAAUGGCUUAUUCUUUUAAGGGUUCCUUGUUAACUACAGAAAAUGAUCCACAUGUCCCAUUGAGGUGCUCUAAGAUCUGGGACUGGCUUCUACGUUUAUCUUUUUUGCCGAACAAUUCAGGCUCCAGAGGGGAUUUUUCUUUUUGGUCUGAAGGGUGAAGCUUGUCUGGUCGGCAGCUUUUGCAAACUACAGCCGCUCAGUUGAGCUCAUUCCUCUGAGGUCUCUGUGCUGCCCCAAAAUGGCUCUUCUGGGCCUGAUGGAAAACCUGAGCCAAGCGCUUUAAGUAGACACAAUGCCCCAGAGAGACAUCCGAUCCUCAGGCGGGUGCACCAGCCACCUGGGCCCCUUACUCUGCCUGUGGUCCCACUCCUGGCCUUUGCUCUGGGAUUCCUGCUCUCUGGGAUGCCUGGACUUGUCUCCCUCUGUCCCCGGGAUAGGAAGCGUCGUCUUUGCCGAGGGCCCAGGGCUGCUCUUUGUGUUUUCAGGGGUUCGAGUCUCCUCUCUACUGCUUCCCUGUAGUAUGAUCUUAGGCAAAUUAUUUAACCCCCCGUACCUCAGUUUACCCACCUGUAAAAAUGGGCUAAUAGUAUCCAACCUCAGGGAGCUGUUGGGAGGCUUAAGUGGGUUAAUUUAUGCAAAGGACUUAGAACCCUGCCUGGUGCAUAGUAACAAUUAUUAUCUCCCCUGUUAGUCUUUAAACUCCUUCAAGCCUCCA